rnacentral:rRNA from 1 species
UACGUAGGGUGCGAGCGUUAAUCGGAAUUACUGGGCGUAAAGCGUGCGCAGGCGGUUUUGUAAGCCAGAUGUGAAAUCCCCGGGCUUAACCUGGGAAUGGCAUUGGUGACUGCACGGCUAGAGUGUGUCAGAGGGGGGUAGAAUUCCACGUGUAGCAGUGAAAUGCGUAGAGAUGUGGAGGAAUACCGAUGGCGAAGGCAGCCCCCUGGGAUAACGACUGACGCUCAUGCACGAAAGCGUGGGGAGCAAACAGG